GCGGAGGAAAAGAAACCAACAGGGAUUGCCUCAGUAACGGCGAGUGAAGCGGCAACAGCUCAAAUUUGAAAUCUGGCUCCUUCGGGGCCCGAGUUGUAAUUUGCAGAGGAUGCUUCGGGUACGGGUUCCUUCCGAGUUCCCUGGAACGGGACGCCAUAGAGGGUGAGAGCCCCGUCUGGUAGGAAACCCAGCCCGUGUGAAGCUCCCUCGACGAGUCGAGUAGUUUGGGAAUGCUGCUCUAACGGGAGGUAUACUCCUUCCAAGGCUAAAUACCGGCUGGAGACCGAUAGCGCACAAGUAGAGUGAUCGAAAGAUGAAAAGCACUUUGAAAAGAGAGUCAAAUAGCACGUGAAAUUGUUGAAAGGGAAGCGCUCGCUACCAGACAUGGGUUCGGCGGUUCAACCGGGGCCACGCCCCGGGGCACUCCGCCGGCCCAGGCCAGCAUCAGCUUUCCGUCGGGGGCAAAGGCGUCGGGAAUGUGGCUCCCCUCCGGGGGAGUGUUAUAGCCCGGCGUGUCAUACCCUUCGGGGGGCUGAGGUACGCGCUUCUGCAAGGAUGCUGGCGUAAUGGUAGCUAGUGACCCGUCUUGAAACACGGACCAAGGAGUCAACCUUAUGUGCGAGUGCCCGGGCGUAAAACCCCAGCGCGGAAUGAAAGUGAACGUAGGUGAGAGCUUCGGCGCAUCACCGACCGAUCCUGAUGUCCUCGGACGGAUUUGAGUGAGAGCAUAUAGGGUUGGACCCGAAAGAAGAUGAACUAUGCGUGUGUAGGGUGAAGCCAGAGGAAACUCUGGUGGAGGCUCGCAGCGGUUCUGACGUGCAAAUCGA
rnacentral:misc_RNA from 1 species